rnacentral:rRNA from 1 species
UACGGAGGGUGCAAGCGUUAAUCUGAAUUACUGGGCGUAAAGCGCACGUAGGCGGAUCGUUAAGUCAGGGGUGAAAUCCUGGAGCUCAACUCCAGAACUGCCUUUGAUACUGGCGACCUUGAGUUCGGGAGAGGUGAGUGGAACUGCGAGUGUAGAGGUGAAAUUCGUAGAUAUUCGCAAAAACACCAGUGGCGAAGGCGGCUCACUGGCCCGAUACUGACGCUGAGGUGCGAAAGCGUGGGGAGCAAACAGG